GCUGUUAGAUUUUUCUUCCAUCUCUUUGUCUCUAGCAAAAUUCAAAUCAAUCUCUACCUGCUUCGUUGGAGCAAUGGUAGACGGGAUUUGCAGCCAUGGCUACGGCGCUAACGUAUGGACACCAAAUGAUGGGUUUAGAACUUUCUUUUACUUCAAUUUCACAAACUAGUGAAAGCUAGCAUGUGAGUGCUCCUACAAAUAAGGGUAGUGGACGGUUAUUUCCUCCCCUGGUACCACUCCAUCACUAACUCCUACAUUUAAGCACAUCUUUUUCCACCAUGUAAGUGUGCUUAUUCCACAUUCUAGUUCUUUUUUGGGGUUAACAACAAACAUUAUUAUUCCACAUUCUAGUUUUGAUGAAGGGUGUGGUUCUCCCUUCUUAAUUUUUUAAUUAUGGUCUAUAAUAAUUUUAUGGAUAAUUGGUUGAUUGUCUGAUAAAAAGUUAUUAUGAAAUCCUAAGAAGCCUAUAAAUAAGAUCAUAGGUGUCUUAAAAAAAAAAAAAAGCAAAAAUUUGUUUGUUAGAGAGAAAAUUUGAAGAGUAAAAACUCCCACUUUGAGAAGUUAUAGCAGACCCGAAUUCGAGGAGUCAAAUUCUUAGUUUGUGUACUGUUUGAAAGCACAAAUAAUUUCGCAGCGUUUUGGUGAUACGAUUUUGAAGGGUCAUCCUUAUCAGUACAGAGACAUUUCGAACUUGGAGAGUUACUCAUAUCGACCUAAAGAGUAUUAUGGCAAAUACCAAUCCUACGAUACCUAGCAUGUCGAUGCGAUCUAUCCUUGAGAAGCAUAAACUAACUAGGACUAACUUCCUUGACUGACAUUGCAAUUUGAAGAUUAUCCUCAAGCAAGAGAAAAAGUUGAAUGUCAUGGAUGAGGCUCUUCCUGAUGAGGAACUUAGGGCAGGAGCGACUAAGGCUUAGAAGGAUGCUUAUAAUAAGCAUUACAAUGAUUGUGUUGAUGUCACCUGCCGCAUGCUUGCAUGCAUGAACUCGGAGCUUCAGAAGCAAUUUUAGGAAAUGGAUGCCUUCACGAUCAUUAGUCAACUAAAGGCAAUGUUUCAAGAGCAGGCAAGAUAAGAAAGGUUCAACACCAUCAAAGCUCUUGUUAACCGCAAACUAGCUAAGGGCAGUUUAGUUAGCCCUCAUAUUCUCAAGAUGAAGAGUUAUCUUGAGCAAUUCCAAAAGUUAGGACUUGAGAUCAGUCGCGAGCUUGCGAUUGAUUCGUGUUAGUUUGUAUAGAAUAUUGGUAUUUUAUUGAUAAUUCAUUGAUAAUAAUCGAAGAUUACAACCCUAUAUAUAACCAUAUUAAAAGACACAAAAGGGAAGAAUAUAUAAGAAUAAUGUUUCCAAGAAUAAUAUUUCCUAAGAAUAAUAUUUCCCAAAAAUACUCUAAUUAUGUCAAUACCCUCCCUCAAACUCAAUGUGCUAGAAUCACAACCUUGAGUUUUCUAAGAAAACGUCUUAAUCAAAUAAGUAAGCCUAGGAUAGAAUCAGAAACUUACGAAAAACAAAAACAAAGAAACUUCUAGGCUAGAGACAAAACCUACGAAGAAUAAAAAUACACAAAACUUCUAGCCUGGAGACAGAACCCACGAAGAACAAAACAAAGAAUUUCUGGGAUAGAAACAUAGAUUCUCAUAUAGAGAUCUAUAACAUAACCUACGAAGAACGAAAUAGAAACUUCUGGGUAGGAGAGAUCCUCAUAGAGAGAUCUAUAGCAGAAUCCAAUGACUACUAAUUUGAAAACAAAACAAACAUCAUUUUUUUUGUGGCAACGAACGAAGCUGAGACCUGUGUGGGUGGCCGCAUAAUUGGAUAUGAACGAAGAGAGUUCGGGAUGUGGUGAGUUGCGGACGACAUAGGUUUGGGACGUAGUAAUCUGGGUUGCAAACUACGUGUGUUUUUUUUUAUUAAGUGGAAACAAAGAGUUGAAGUAGGAGAUUUACACUUGGGUCUGCCUCCGUUUAUGGCUAGUCAUGGACAGAGGUAGAGAUCGACAGAGACAGAGAUCAAACAAUGAGAAAGAAACCUAAAGCUCUAAUACCAUGUUAGUUUGUAUAGAAUAUUGAUAUUUUAUCGAUAAUUCAUUGAUAAUAAUCGAAGAUUACAUCUCUAUAUAUAUAUAUUAAAAGACACAAAAGGAAAGAAUAUAUAAGAAUAAUAUUUCCAAGAAUAAUAUUUCCUAAGAAUAAUAUUUCCCAAAAUUACUUUAAUUAUGUUAAUAAUUUGGUUCUCUAAUUCCUGUUUAAUACUUUUGAUCAGUUUGUAAUGAGUUACAGUAUGCAUGGGAUGGAGAAGAGUUUGACUAAGCUGCAUGGGAUGCUGAAGACUACUAAAUUGAACAUCAAUUUUUGUUUUGAGGUUUUGAUGGUGCAAAAAGGGAAGAAUCCCAAGAAGAGUGAACGAGAUCAAGGAAAGGGUAAGGACAAAGUUACUACCAAGGCAUGAAAAGUUAAUGUUCAUGCUGCACCUAGACCGAAACUUAAAGAGCCUAAGCCACCCAAGGAAGGAGAAUGUUAUCACUACAAGGAACUUGGGCAUUGGAAGAGGAACUAUCCUCUUUAUCUAGAAAAACUGAACAAUAACAAGGGAAAUGUCCCCCUUUGACUUCAAGUAUCUUUGUUAUAGAAGUCAGUUAUCUACUUCUAACCCUACAUCUUGGGUAUUAGAUACCAGAUGUGGUGCUCAUAUUUGUGGAAAUGUGUAGGGACUAAGAAGCAGUACGACAUGGCUAAAGGUGAGUGGAUCUAAGAGUCAGAAUGAAGCAAGAGUUGUUGCAUUAGUUGUUGGGACUUAUGAUUUAACUUUGCUUUUUAGACGUGUUUUAGAAUUAAAUAGUUGUUAUUUUGUACCAACUAUGAACAGAAACAUUAUUUCUAUUUCAUGUUUGAAUUUGGAAGGUUUUAUGUUUGUUAUUGAAAAUAAUAACCUUUCUA